AAGACGACGGCACAGAGAGAAGGUGAGUUACAAUCCAUCCGUGGAAUAACGCAAUCCAAACGAGCAUCGUCAGUAAAGCACUCUCGAGCCAGCAAGUGAAUUGGCGGCCGAAAGCCACUCUUGCCGCGGCAGCCCCGAAACGAGAGGGAAGUAAACAGUAAUUACACUAAUUCCGUACAAUAACGAGGGCAGAAAACAUCUGGCGUGCAAUUAAACUUGACGAUGCCCAAAUUCGGUCGCCGCGCAGCCAAAUAAGAUUAUUCAAUUUUAUUCACUUAAUUGGCUUUGCUGCGGCAACGAUCGAUUUUGGAUGCCAGCGUGUCUCGCCUACCGACCGUUCAACCACACACAUACACACUAAACUCUAAAUGAGAGACCGUACAGUGUAUUUUACACACGUAUAUGCUAACUCACAGCAUUUAAAAUGUUCAAGCCCAACAAUCGAUAACAUUAUUAUAUUGAAUACAUAAAUUGCUUUGUUUCUUUAUUAAAAUCUGGAUAUAUUUUAUGCAUUUUAUGUGUAAAAAUCCACUUACAAAAGGUUCGUCAUGCAAAUAGUUUUUAAAAUACAUAGCAACAACCAGUCAAGCCUAUUUUAUUAUUUAUGUUUAAAACGUUUAAUUGUGGAAAAAACACAACUAAAAUCUACUAAAUCUGUUAGAUUGGAGACUUAUCAAAUAAAACUUUUUGUUUUAAAAAGUAUUUUGGGUAAGCUCCCCAGAUAAAAACGUUAUUCAUGCAAAACGUGCAGGAGAGACGCGCCGAAUUUCGCGUGUGUCAGGAGUAUGUGCUGCCGUGCGCCCCACGUGCGAAUGUGCCCGCCAUAUUUUGCGGUCUCUGCUGCACAUGCGGCACUCGGGAUUUUAUUUUCCACAUUAAAUAGCAUGCCUAACAGCGCUUACUUUGCCGUCGUGCACACGCGCACCAGCUGACCUGCAAGCCAAACAGGUAUAUUUGCAUGAGCCAACGUCGAAUUCCGGCUCAUUUUUCAGGAUUUGCUUGUCGAUUCGCAGCGUUAAACGAGCGGCAAUUUAUUUGAUGCGGAAUCAUUUUUAUCGGAAACUGCCGCUGUUCAUGAAAUGCAUGCCUCGUUUGCGGCCAAACUGAUGACGGUAAUAUUUUAACGACAAUUUUCUCAAGCAGGAAAAACCAAUCCACGUUUGCUUCCUCAGGCUGUAUAGUUAUGGAGCCUCUUUUUCAAUGACAAAAUGGAUUUUCCUAUAGGUUCAACAAUGACGAGUGACUUGUAACAAAAUGAAAGCCAUAAAAAUUGAAACCUUCCGCUUGAUUCUCUUCCAUGAAAUUCUCAGUUGGGUGGGCGCGGAUUUCGCGAAAUUUCGCUAUUCGUAUCAGAAUCUUUCUUGUGCUGUUGCUCAACAUUGUUUGACGGCCCGACAUCGUUAUAUCCACGUCAAAGUAGCUGUCGUUAUUUCGGUUGUUCGCGCGAAUGUGAAAAUGCCGCGCUCGGCUCCAGAUUUGUUGGCACUGGAGACUCCUGUGCGCACCGAUUCACGCGAACUGAGGCGUGCAACAUUUAACGAGCGCCCCGGGGCGAAUGCAAAUGCAAAAUACAUACAAGCACUCGUCUCAUUCGUCGCGUCGAGAGUGCAAAAGUGAGGAAAGUCGCACGCGACAUCGAGGCAAUUGCCGGCGAGCGAGCACUUAGCGCUUCGCAACUGAGAAUGACAUUAUGAGAGCACAACAGCUGCAAAAAGAAAAGCACACUCCGUCUUCGACUGCCGUGCCUUCCAUUUUUCCCGCAGUGUAAAACUUUUCGCCAAGCUAACGAGCCCAGACGCAUUUCCUCCAGUGCGUCCAGCCCGUUUUCAUUUUCGGAGAGACAGUUUCGCCGCUCAAGUGGAAGCUGCCUCUCCGCGCUGCUGGCCUCUCAUAUUGUAUUUAUGGCGCCACUAAUGCCAGCUCAUCUGCCAUGCAAAGCCCUGUUGUGUCUGCUGCGAUUUCCCCAGGGCUCCAUACACCUGUACACGGCGAGCGCCCGCAGGCCGUUAAUGCAGCGCCGAUUGCUCGAGGACCAACACUGUGUCGUAUACUGCACUGCACCUACACUGCGAAAAAAAUCGUUAACUGCAAUUGCAGAAACAGCGCCCAUUUCCCUGAAUAAUUGCCGCAGUCCAUUAGACCUUGAAUCGUUUUUCUAACAGCCAAUAAUUAAAACUCAUCAGUCUGCUUAUUUCACGCUAGGGACACCGUGUGAUUCAAGCUUGUACAUCAUAAAAACAGUAAAAACAUAUAACAAAAAGGAAAUUUAAGUUAUCUGUAAUAAAAAUUCGAUUUUUUUAUUAUAUAAAUGAUCUAACGCGAGUUUUAACUCAAUUUUAUUUUAGUUUAGGAGGAAGAAUUGGCAAGCACAUGCAUCAAAAUAAAUAAGUUUAAAAGGGAUGAGAAAGGAGUGAGAAAUCGCAUCGGAAUGGUCUUUAAAUCCAAAAUCUUGAUGAUAAAUCCACACUGAUUGUGAGCUAUUUUUCCUCGACUUUUAAAAGACGUUUAUUAAUUUUAACAUUAGAAAGAGCAUUUUAACAAUUUUUCACUCCUAUAAAUCUACGAGGCUCGGAUUCUGACUUGAUGUGAAAAGUGCUUGCACUCCGAUCCAGACAGAACUUUUUGCUCGACAUUUGUAGCAUAUGUUACGUAAGAGCAUUUUCCAUUUGACUGGCGCCUUAUUAGAGCUGAUUAAAGUGAUCGAGUAAUUAUUAUUUGUCAAGCUCCGUUUGACAGAGAGUUGAAAAGCCUGGUGUGAUUGCCAGCAGACACGAGUUGUGCCCCCUGUUGUCGAGUCAAAAGCCUAAAGGUAAUCCAUUUGGCUGGCAAUUUUCACUGGCUUUGCAAAUUAGAUGCCUUGUUCCUACCUAGGUGCGCACAUAAAUUCGACUGACUGGCUCGAUGAUCGAAUCUCGCCUUUGUUUCGUCCGUGAUUCGAUUUGCGCAGCGCUGAAAAGGGAAACUCUCGGUGCUGCCGCCGGUACAGAUAAAUUCCGCCGUUUUGCACUCUAGAAAUUACUGCUGAAGUCGUUCCACACUUCGAUCGAUUCGUUCCGAGCAAUUGGUACUAAUCACAUCAACACAUGCGUGAAAUCUGUCAGCAGAAAGGCUUCCUUCAACUAUUAUCAUUUUUCGCGGUUAAUGGAGACUUGUGCCACUUUUCAAAUUCAAUUCGGCUGGAUUUGACGGCCUAAGCUGCGCGCAUGAAAUGGAUAUUUCCGAAUUACCGGCGGUUUUUCCGGCUUUCCCUCUGACGGGGGGCAGUUUUUCAUCAGGCGUAGCUGGCUAUUUAUUUAGCGCGCCCUCAUCUGAGCCUGGCGAGAGAACAAAAAGGCCUUUGUCGCCGCUCGCUGUUAAUCCUGUUAGCUUAAUUAGUAAUAGAACACUCGGGCUGUGUGCGCCAUUUUUCCCUUCACCCCGCUCACCCACCCGGUCGUAUACACACACUUGCACUUUUUUUAAUAAAAGCGAGACGACGGGCGUCAGACGCAUGAUAAUGCGGUUUGGUCCAUUUGGCGCGUUUGUAUCCACCACACACACAAUUGGAGCCCUGCGGUGUCUGCCACGCCACUCGACGCCCCCGUGCCAAGGGCAGUGAACCAACGACUCGCUCUCCACGGUGAUAACGGCCAUAAACUGCCGGCGAAUAUAUUUAUUGCUUCGAUAAAAGGAGAUUUAGCGUUGCGCAGUUGUUUAAACGCGGGCGCUAAAGUAAAUUAACGAUGGCAGUUUAUUUUCAAAACACACAUUCGCAAAUAAUGCUGCAAUGUCGCGGUCCGCAAGGCUACAAAAGCCCUUCUGACGGACAGUAAAACAAAACUGGAGUUUUUGAUAAGCACCGCAGAGAGACGUUCCCAGAUGACAUACGCAGACUUUAUCUUUUGAUUAAAAUCUUCGAUUUAUGUUUUCGGGGAAAAUAAACAUAAACAGAAUCCAUCAUCCCUGGGGCUCGAACAGUAAAUCAUCUGAAAAACUGGUUUCAAUUUCCUUUGAAGAAUAUCUUGAUUCUGGUAAACAUUAAAAGAGGCAAUAAAAACAUGAUAUUACAGAUCGUAAUCUGUGACAAAACGUGACCUUCAUUUCAACCCCUGCGUCCGGAAAUUCGCCCUUGGCCAGCGCUUUCUUUCUUUGCUCAAAAUGCGUCGUCGACGCGUGGCUGGAGGCUAGGAAAAAAAUGUGUGCCGCUUUUUGCCACUGCCCGAGGCCAUUACGCGUCCGACCCUGUUAGCGACGAGUGAUAAUCAGAUCAGCCCGGCCGGCGCCACCCGCGGGCUGGGCCAAAUGGACGCGCGCGUGGAUUAGCCCAAGACGCAACCACCCCUUUGCCCGGCCGUUGACUUGUUUGUUUAUCGUGCGUGCGCUGUCCACCCCCGUCGAAUAAAUCGCGCAGCCAGACAAACACCGGCGCGGCCCCGAAAUGUUUGCACGGUAAACAGGUUGGUAAUUGCGCCCGAUUAGCAUUUAUGGGUGCUGCGUUUCAUUACUCUAGGCCCACAUGCAUGACCCGCCACCAACGCUCAAAUGAUAUAAAUAAUAAUAAAGCAUUAACGGCGGAUUAGUGGUGUCGACGGCCAGACGUUCCGCGCAAUUGAUUCGAGCGGCGGGGAUUGCCCUGUGAAAUUUGUGGUUUAUCGCUGCUGUUCAUAUUUGGAUUCCUUCGAAGCUUUCAAAGUUAAUUCUGGCUAUCUGCCGUUUCCAUUUUGACAGAAAUAAUUUAAAAAUUAACCACACAGGGACAUAAAUUUAAUUAUUCCGUAUAGAUUUUUCGUAUCACAAAAGAAGCAGAAUUUCACUUCUAACCACGGAUACAUUUAUGGCUUACAUGAAUUGAAUAAUUCACUCGCAGAAUAAAAAUAAUUUACCCGUUUGGCUCGAUUCAUAAAAUCACUGGUUGAAGUAAAAACGAUCGGUCAGAGAGAUCAACAAGUACCUUUUAUUUUUCAAAAUUGUUUACUCCGAUCUGUCAAAAAGCGCACGUCGCUGGAGGCGUAAUCGUAAACAGCACUGCUGACGGCUGGCUGCAGGCCAACGUGCUCCACUUACUCUCCAUUUGCAUUCUACGGCUGAAAGCGAGCCAAAAGUGGCGGG